CCACAGCAUUGCCUCAGUACGGCGAGUGAGCGGCAAAAGCUCAAAUUUGAAAUCCCCCGGGAAUUGUAAUUUGAAGAGAUUUGGGUCCGGCCGGCGGGGGUUAAGUCCACUGGAAAGUGGCGCCACAGAGGGUGACAGCCCCGUGAACCCCUUCAACGCCCUCAUCCCAGAUCUCCAAGAGUCGAGUUGUUUGGGAAUGCAGCUCUAAGUGGGUGGUAAAUUCCAUCUAAAGCUAAAUACCGGCGAGAGACCGAUAGCGAACAAGUACAGUGAUGGAAAGAUGAAAAGCACUUUGAAAAGAGAGUGAAAAAGUACGUGAAAUUGUUGAAAGGGAAGGGCUUGCAAGCAGACACUUAACUGGGCCAGCAUCGGGGCGGCGGGGAACAAAACCACCGGGGAAUGUACCUUUCGAGGAUUAUAACCCCGGCCCUUACUCCCUUGCCACCCCGAGGCCUGCAAUCUAAGGAUGCUGGCGUAAUGGUUGCAAGUCGCCCGUCUUGACACACCGAAACAUCAAAAAAAAUCGUUCUUGGGGACUGCGCUUCGGGCGGGAUGUUGGCAUAAUGAGUUAAAUGACACCCGUCUUAAAACAGGGCACACAGUCUCCUCGUGAAUAUUUCUUUUUUUGUCUUUAUGCCUCUAUUUUUUCCUCGUGUCGCUUUCC
rnacentral:rRNA from 1 species